rnacentral:rRNA from 1 species
GACGAACGCUGGCGGCGUGCUUAACACAUGCAAGUCGAACGGAAAGGCCCUGCUUUUGUGGUGUGCUCGAGUGGCGAACGGGUGAGUAACACGUGAGUAACCUGCCCUUGACUUUGGGAUAACUUCAGGAAACUGGGGCUAAUACCGGAUAGGAGCUCCUGCUGCAUGGUGGGGGUUGGAAAGUUUCGGCGGUUGGGGAUGGACUCGCGGCUUAUCAGCUUGUUGGUGGGGUAGUGGCUUACCAAGGCUUUGACGGGUCGCCGGCCUGAGAGGGUGACCGGCGACAUUGGGACUGAGAUACGGCCCAGACUCCUACGGGAGGCAGCAGUGGGGAAUAUUGCACAAUGGGCGGAAGCCUGAUGCAGCAACGCCGCGUGCGGGAUGACGGCCUUCGGGUUGUAAACCGCUUUCGCCUGUGACGAAGCGUGAGUGACGGUAAUGGGUAAAGAAGCACCGGCUAACUACGUG